CGGCAGCCGUUCCCUCGUCCCCGUCCCCGGGCGAAGGGGCCCUCCGGGUUUCUUCUCCAAGGCACUCAUCUCAUUCCUGGGGGCGCCGCCCCCAUGACUGUCUGGGGCGCAGGUGGGCUGCCCCCAAAUGGAUCUCAAGGGCAUAUUGAUUAUUUUUCAAUUAAAGUUACUUCAGAAAUGGCCAGCGCAAGAACACUCUGUCCUCUCUGUCUCCCCGAAAGCAGGAGAUAAACGUCCCAAGUGAAGGGUGUCCUCCCCGCACCUGGGGUGCCGGACACGCCUCCGCAGAGAGAGGGCCGCAGCCGGGAAGCCUGUGCGGACAAGCCUCGCGACGUUUCCCGUGCUUCGGCCGCAGGGUCGUGAAGGCCUUCCCGGAGAGUUUCCUCUGACAGAAAAACACCGUUGUACUUCCUCACGUCUGAGAUGCGAUGUUCGUGAAUGGACCUGCUCUGCGGAAUUUGAGCACUUAGUCCUCACAGCUUCAGGCAGCACCGUCUCACUUUUACAGCGACCGGCCAUUCCAGCGCAGUGCGGAGGUGCGGUGGCACUCGGGCUGCUGGUGGAGGCAUUCGAAAUGAUGCAAAGGGAAGUCGGCAAGAGGAGCAUCGUGGGAAGCCCAGGAGGAUGGACGCGGCUGGAAGGAUGUACCGGGCCCAGCAGUCUUGGGACUUAGUCAGCAUCCGACCUCCACUCGGCCCUGGGCCGGGUGACGAUUGCCUCUGGCUUGGUGACCGAAAGGUGUCAGCCACUCAGAAAGAGCUCAGCUGGGCACUUCUGGUUCACAGUGUCUCCAGAAGUUGCCGUCCAAUACUCUUAACAGGAAAUUCUCCCCAGAUGUCGAAGCACUUAGCAAUUGCAGAGGAAAUUCUGCCCCGGGGAAGACGCUUGAGAUGAUGACUCAUUUUGGGCGGAGGCCAGCGACAUGGUAAAAGUGAGGCUCUUCCUGAGAAAGCCCGGUGAGGGACGCACUGGACACACUGGAUCUGGUCGCGGCGCAGGGGUGGCUCACAGCCUGUCCGCACCAGCUGCAGCGUGGUUCCCAUCCAAAGAGAGGCUGCAGCUGUCAAAAUGCACGAGUAUUUGCGAACGUCGCGUUUUGUUUAAUCUGUAAGUGCUUGUGUCCUGGAGAGGGAGGUGUAAGUAAAACCGCUUCUGGAAAGAGCCAGGAGAAGACACAGGCUACCGCAGAACUGCCCGCACAGCAGCCUCUGCCCACCGCGCAGGUGCCCCCUGCCCCGGUGCAGGCGGGGCGUGCAGCCGAAGACGCACCGCAGCUCACUCUAACGCACCUAUUAGACCACUUCAUUUAAAGAUUAAAAAAAUCCAGGAAAAGUGCCAAGCCAGAAGCUUCCAUAAGGACCAUAAGGACACUAGGUGUGAUUUAGGACUGCUCUGGGGGCACUGGCACAGAUGGCCACGGCACUUGUGUCCAUCAGCGCUGUCUCGGAGAAAUCUAACAGCAGUCAGAGAAGUCAUUUUAAAUAGUAACAGUAAAAAAAAUGGAAACAGGUGAAAUGAAUUUUGAUAGUAUCUUUUCAACCAGUAGCUUCAAAAUAUUAGUUUUAAAGGUAAUCACCGUGAAAUCGCUGAUGGGAGAGUCCGCGCGCUUCUCUGCUGCACUGCCUUUGCAAUCCCGUGUGUUUACCGUCAGAGCAUCUUCCCCUGUGGCCAGCCGCAUUUCAAGGGCUCUGUGACCGCCCGUGCUGAGUGGUCACUGUACAGGACAGUAUGGUAUUGAAGACAAGCCUGCGGUUACAGAUGUGCAGGGACACGGCUGAAACUGUCCGCUGGUGAGUAGCAGCAUGGGUGGGGCCCAGUGCCCCUGUCGUCCCCACUUUUCUCUGUGGAGGCAGCUUCCUCCUCAGCCUCGAGGCUGCACGUGGCCCCUGAGGUGAUCCCCGCCCCCAGGCACUGCCCAGGACGGUGGGGGGGCACUUCCUCUUCUCCUGCCAUCCUGGGGUCGACGGCCCUGGCAAGCAGCCGCCCUGCGGCCACCUUCAGCCCUAAGGCCGCAGACAGGUGUCUGGCCUCACCCCCCAAGAACAGACGCAGGAAGAGGAGGGCGAGGCUGUCUGCAUUUGCAGGCAACUUGGGAGAGGAAUUCUGAGUCCCUCAUGUCUGGAGUGAGGGGAGGGGACACCGCAGGAGGGCCUGGGUCUAAGGAUGAACUGCGUUUCAUUUUUGUCUCCUUCGUAAAUAACCUGCUAAGAACUCAGCCUCAUUUGGAAACGCAGAAUUUCUGCAGACCGUUCCGGAAAUGACCUGAGACGUGUUAGCUGUGAUGGGUUCAAUUCUACCCUUGUGUGACAUCGCCCUUCUCUUCCAGCGUGAGCCCUGUGCUUGGGCAGCCCUGGGCCCAACCCGCCUGCUUCAGGGUGAGCGACUCGGUUUCCUCCCCGCUGGUGCCCCCGUGGGGCUCGGUCGCUCCAGUUCAGACUGUCCCCAGCCGUGCCCAGCAAGGGUGCCAGGCCUGGUCAGGGCGCCGCCGUCCCUGACCCCGCCCCCAGUCAUUUCCUACACACCUGGCUGAAACCCAGAGCCUCCAGGUGCGUCCCAGCACACCUGUUAGGGAGGGUGUGUGGGUCGAACAAGCUGAGAUUUAGGUCUGAGAUUGCGCACCCCUAGAUUUUGUUGUCUUUCAGUUUGUCAAAGAUCAGAACUUUUUCAUGGUGUAUCAAAGUCAAUUUGCUGAAGUACUUAUGUAUUUUACUUGCAUCGUAACUUCUGUGAGGAGGAAUGAGGAUUUUUAAAUGCUUGUAGCUCAUAAGAAAACGCACUGUUCCAUAUUAACAGUUAACAGCCUACUCGACGCAAAAUCUUUGAGGUUUUCAUAGUUCAUUGUGACAAGGCAGUUAAUGAAAAUCAGCCUCCUGUGAAAAAGACUGUUUAUAACUUUAACCAAAUACAACUUUCUACAACCAAUGUGCUUAAAAUGUAGUUUCUUGUAACAAUCAGAAUCUUAAGGUUACAGAUCCUUGAAACGACUAAGGUGAACCUUUCAUUUUUAUUGAUAAGUUUUUGUCCUUUUAAUAAACUGACAGGUGGGAAGAGAUACACAGACAUACAAAAGCCUGUUUUUUAAUAUAAUACUGGGCAAAUAUUCAACAGUCUUCUUUCUUUUCUUUCUAAACAAAAAACUGCCGGCCCACCCACCUCUUUGUGUUGCUAAAGCACACUUUUCAGGGUUUUCUCACUUGGUGAGAAACUUGUGAUUCUCAGUUUCAACUAUGAUUUAAAUCAAGGUUGAGUCAGAGAACUUGGGACCCAUAAUCAUUCUUGCCAUCACCUGCUUCUAUCCCCUUAAUCAUUCUGAUGUAUUUUUUUUAAAGAUAACUGUUUUUCUGACAUUUCCAUAUCAUUUUUGUGUGGGUAAGUGACAGAAAAGCACUGUAUGUAUUAUAUGUGUACAUAUAUGAAUAUAUAUUAUGACCAUGA